rnacentral:ncRNA from 1 species
CUCAGUCACUACUCCUACGGGAGGCAGCAGUGGGGAAUCUUGCACAAUGGGGGAAACCCUGAUGCAGCGACGCCGCGUGAGCGAUGAAGCCCUUCGGGGUGUAAAGCUCUUUCGACGGGAACGAUAAUGACGGUACCCGGAGAAGAAGCUGCGGCUAACUACGUGCCAGCAGCCGCGGUAAUACGUAGGCAGCGAGCGUUGUUCGGAGUUACUGGGCGUAAAGAGUAUGUAGGCGGUUGCGCAAGUUUGGUGUGAAAUCUCCCGGCUCAACUGGGAGGGUGCGCCGAAAACUGCGCGGCUAGAGUGCGGGAGGGGAGAGCGGAAUUCCUGGUGUAGCGGUGAAAUGCGUAGAUAUCAGGAGGAACACCGGCGGUGUAGACGGCUCUCUGGACCGCGACUGACGCUGAGAUACGAAAGCGUGGGGAGCAAACAGGAUUAGAAACCCCGGUAGUCC